GAGGUGAUGCCAAUGAAUCAUGAUCUAUCUGAAUGUCUGAUUCUGACACAAUUGAUUCAAAACAUUCAGAAUUUGGAGUAGAUGCUGACAUAUAAUUUAAGAAUAUAUUGCAUAAAAAAGUACAUAAAAUAAAUGAAACAAAUACCUUGUGGUAGAUAAUCAUAUUUUUGAACAAUUUUGAUCUCUUUAUUUGAAUCUGGUUCCUUAACAUCAUGUAAUGGUAAAACAGAAGAUAAUGUCG
rnacentral:lncRNA from 1 species